GACGAACUCUGGCGGCCUGCAUUAACGCAUGCUAGUCAAACGGAAAGGCCCUGCUUGCAUGGUACUCAAGUGGCGAACGGGUGACUAACACAUGGGUGAUCUGCCCUGCUCUUCUGGAUACGCCUGGGAAACUGGCUCUAAUACCGGAUAUGAGCCAUUUUUAGUGUGAUGGUUGGAAAGUUUUUUCUGAGUAGGAUGAGCUCCCGGCCUAUCACCUUGUUGGUGGGGUAAUGGCCUACCAAGGCGGCGACUGGUAACCGCGCCUGAGACGGUGGACGGCCACUUUGUGACUGACAUACGGCCCAUACUCCUACGGGAGGCUAGACGAGGGGAAUAUUGCACAUUGGGCUCUGGCCUGAUGCAGCGACACCGCGUGUCGGAUGACGGCCUACGAGUUGUAAACUCCUUUCGGUACGGACGAAUCUUUUUGUGACGGUACCUAGAUCACACGCUCCGGCUAACUACCUGCCAUCUCCCGCGAGUAAUACCUAUGGUGCCAGCGUCGUCCGGAAUUACUGGUCGUGCAGGGCUCGUAGGUGGUUUGUCGCGACAUCUGUGAAAUUCCUGGGCUUAUCUCCUGGCGUGCGGGCUAUACGGGCAUAACUUGAGUACUGUAGGGGUAACUGGAAUUCCUGGUGUAGCGGAGAAAUGCGCAGAUAUCAAGAAGAACACCGAUGGCAAACGACUGUUACUGGGCAGUUACUGACGGUGAGGAGCGAACGCGUGGGUAGCGAACAAGAUUAUAUACCCUGGUACUCCAUGCUGUAAACGGAGGGCGCUAGGUGUGAGGGUCUUUUCACCACUUUCCUGCCGUAGCUAACGCAUUAACCGCCCCGCGUGGGGAGUACCGCCGCGAUGCUAAUACUCAAAGGAAUUGACGGGGGCCCGCACAAGCGGCGGAGCAUGUGGAUUAAUUCGAUGCAACGCGAAGAAUCUUACCUGGGGUUGACCUACACCAGAUGGUGGUAGAGAUGUAGUUUCCCUUUGUGGGUGGUGUACAGGUGGUGCAUGGUUGUCGUCAGCUCGUGUCGUGAGAUGUUGGGUUAAGUCCCGCAACGAGCGCAACCCUUGUCUUAUGUUGCCAGCAUUUGGUUGGGGACUCAUGAGAGACUGCCGGGGUCAACUGGGAGGAAGGUGGGGAGGACGUCAAAUCAUCAUGCCCCUUAUGUCCAGGGGUUCACACAUGCUACAAUGGUCGGUACAACGUGCAACGACACUGUGAGCUGUAGCGAAUCGAGGAAAUCCGGCUUUAGUUCGGAUGGGGGUCUGCAACUUGACCCCAGCAAGUUGGUGUUGUUUGUAAUCGCAGAUCAGCAAUGAUGCGGUGAAUACGUUCCCGGCCUA
rnacentral:rRNA from 1 species